CUCAGCUGUCCCGUCUCUUACUGCGCAGCGUCACCAGGCUUUAAGGCGACCUCUGAGAUCGUCCAGCGACACCUAUGGCUGAACACUUCCAUGUCAACCAGACCGUGUACCCUCUCUGUUAGAGGUGGGAGAAAAUGUGCCCAAAACCAGAUGACAUGAGUGUGCUGUUGGCCAGGAAAUGGCAGUUCAAGCGAAAUGAGAGUAGUGGUUACUCUUUGCUCAUACACAGCAGGAAUUAAUCAUAUGGAAGGAAGUGGAAGAUGGUUAAGCUGUUUGGGAACUGGAUAACUUCCAAUUUCCUUUACUAGUAAAGAUAACAUUUAAUCACGACAGAAGAUUAAAUGGCCUGUGCAGAAUCUUUCGCCUCUGGUAAGUGAAAAGCAAACAUCUUCACUCUGCUAGAUCUCUUUUUUUUCAUUACUACAGAAAAAUUAAAAUUAUUUGACUUGGCCUCAGGCCUUCAAUUGCUCUGUUGGGUUAUUAAAAAUACAGUGAAGAGCCAGUAAUGAGUGGUAUUCCUUAUGUAUCUUGGCUGUUUGUUCUUUACAAACGGAAGAUUGAUUAUAAUGGUUAAGAGACUUGGGAUUUAUUGACUUGUCUUCCUAGGAAUUUUUUAUCUCAUAAUUGCUUUCAAGAGUAUUUUCCUGCUUUUUUCACCCCCAUUAACCACUGAAUCAUCUUUUUCUAUAAUAAUCAGUAGUAGCUGAGAAUGCUAGCCAGUAAACUCAGUCCUAAGACCUGGCUUUUUCAAAGUUAUUAGGAGUAUUUGAGGGUGCUUACCGAAGUGAGGGAAUCUAAAAUAUUAGUUAGGUAGAAUUAUGGAUUUUACUAUCUUGAGGGUAAUUCAUCUGCUUUGGGAGGUGAGUUAAACAUUGUAUCAGAAAUGUCCAGGGGUUAAUAUUCGAUUGUUUCCCCUUUGUAUUUUAAACAAAGAAUUUGUUAAUUGUCAGCUCCUCUCCUGUCUCUGCAAAGAGGUUCCCUGUGUUAUUCACAGGUGAAUGUAGUAGUUAUUACAGACAUGUUAUGAGCAAACCUAGAGCAAAUUAAAUACUCUCACAAAAAAACACAGGCCCAUUUAAUGCUGAUAUAACAUCCCCAUGAAAUACCAAACCUUGAGUAUUAGAACACUGAUGUACUUUGUUCCAGUUUAGCCAUAUUCAUUUGGGGUUAAGCAGAUAAUCCUAUGAGCUUUGAGUUUUCUUUGUAGUCUCUCACUUCUCUGGUGGAAAAUAAGCUGCAGUACAGUCUCAAAAAUUAACGUAAUGCUUAAACUCUCAAAUGCUGUGGUUUAGUGAUAAAUACUUCACAGUGUAAUCCUUGCUCCUAAAAAACAUUUGGAAAGAAGAAGCAACUUUAUGUAAGUGAUAAUGAACUUUGAGGCUAAUUAUAAAUUGUAAUAUGCAUAUAUUUCUAGAUAUGAAUUAAUAAAAUAUUGAAAUCAGUUUUAGCACGUAAAAGAUGUCUAGGAAAUCUGUGUUUGGGAUGAGAAAGAAUUAUUUAGGGAAAAUGAUGUGAUGUGCAUCUUUUAAGAGUACUGACAUAAUUCCAUUUUUCAGAAAGAAUGAUGCAGAUUCCAAACCUGAAAAUUAUUUAGACUUUAUGAGGUAUGUAGGUCUUAGGUACCUAUUAUUUGGUUUAUCACAGUACUUUGUUUUUUCUUGAAUAGAAUUUGGCAUGAAGUUUUUUGGGGUUUCUCCAGUAUACAAGAUAUUACCAUAAAUUAAGGAAUGUUAGGGGAAAGAGGUACAAAGACAUCAAGUCCUUUGUUUCUGCCUGAGCCUGGCUCUGUAAGAACAGACUUAUAAAAACUAAGCUGUUUUAUCUGGUAUAUGGUAGAUUAUCUUCAAUAGUGAAAUAAGAGGAAACAAGUUGACCAUUCAGAAAUUACUGUUGUUGACUUAUGAAACAGAUGGAAAAAGAUUUUUGUUAAGCUGAUUGUGUAAAAUGGAGUGUAGCAAAGGAAUUUGAAUAUGAAAAUAAACUUGCAGUUCCAUGGUGUCACAGAACCACAUAUUACAGCAUAUUGACAUGUGCUUUUGCAUUUACAAGGGGGAUUGAUGCCAUACAGAGAUACUUAUUAGAUGUCACAGGAAUGGUUUUUGCAGCUGCAUAAACAGUAGCUUUUAUAUUGUUAGAUUGAGAUGGGUGCUGUAAAUACUGAUUUUCAAAGCAUAAAUCAAGUCAUCCAGGUUUUUGAUUUUAAAAUACUUUCUUUCAUUAUAAUUAAUAUUCAGUUUUGGCAGUGUGAUCCCAGUGUAAAAUCAUCUUAUCUUUCAGGCUGGCAUGGAUUAGGAAUCUUGCUUUGAUAAACAGUCAACAGACCUGAGCAAUCAUAGGGCUUACAUGUCAACUUUGAAAUAAGGACAUGUAAAAGUAAAUGGACUUAACUGAGUUUUGCUGUGAACAGAUACACAGAGCCUGACCAUACAGGAAACUUGGACUGUAGCUGUGGCUUGGUACAUCCACUCAAAUUCAGUUGUUUCAUUUUAAGCAGCAAUUUACUCAUGUUCCUAGGUAUAUGUGCUAAGAUUUUUAAAUUUUUUUUUUUUUUUUUUUACUACUAGCGCUGUUGGUACCCUUUCAGAUAAAGGAUUGUACUUAAAUAGUUUGGAAAAUUAAAUGUUGUGAUCAAAGAUAUAAGAACUUAUUUAGGUACAAAUAAGCCUUUUCCCCUCAUUCAGCAGGUUUCCUGCUAACGUACAGAAUUGUUUGUACCAAGUGUAAAACAAAGCAAAGCAUAUUUUAGUGACAAAGAUUCUGUGAAGUGUUCACAUGACAAACACCUUUUCUUGUAAAUCAACGACAAUUCUUUUCAUAACCCUUCUUAGUACUGGCUUAGUAAAAAUAGACAGUCAUUAUUGCGACAUGCCAUUGGAAUUUGUAGAUGCUAUGAGGUCAUCUUGUCUACAGCAGAUGAGAGAAUACCAUGCACUUUAAGUACACAUUGGUAUUUCUGUGAUCACUGAGGAAUCAGGAACAGCAUUAAACCUGAGUUUCCUGUGCCACUGCCAUCAUCUCUGUAAAUACAGAUGUCUCCUCAGAGAACUUGCAGGAGUUGUGAAUCACAGUCAGUUUUAUUUUCAUGCUGGCUGUAAGUUUACUUCUACAAUUUUUAUCACCAUUCAUUCUUCAUUAGAUAGUUUGCUCAGAUAGUCUAAGCUACUAUGAUAAAAGGUAAAAAUGAGUUAGAAAUCCCAAAAAGUAGUCAACACUGUUGGUCUUUUCCUGGUCAGUGUGUGUCUAGCGAGUGUGUCAUUGCUCAGGAGCAUUCAGUGCUAGCAGAGAAUAUUGCAGAUACGGGUACAAUGGAGUGCAAAAUCAGGAUGCUCCUAGAAAUGUAUGAAUUUAAGAGAGACACAGGCUAAUGGUACUUAGAUACAGCACUAGUAUGAAAUGUGAUAUUUUUCACUAAUGCCCCAAAAAAGUUUAAAGACCACAAUAUCAGCUUCAACCAGAUUGCGACUGCUAAACCAGUACUAGAUUUUUUUUCUAGAAGUGUCAGCUUUCUGUACUGUUAUACCCAGCAGUCUACCCAGCUAGUUUUCAUCUGCAGUGAAGGGAAGCUGAUUAUACUGAAAGUGGAAGUAUGGCUCUAGUAGUUCUGACUCAUUUCUUGAAGCACUGCUCAGUAACUGAACCCCACCCUGCCAUGGGCUGUGUAGGCAGAUUGGUUCUCAAAAACACCAUGGGAUAUUGGAACCAGUUAGCCAAAAGCCAGAACUGGUUGUAGGAGCUCUGGGGUAGCCAAAAGGCAGCUGUGUUCUGACCAUGUAAUCACAAGGCUAUGACAGUGACUGAAAUAUUACUCAGGCCAUUUGGGAACUUCUUCAAUUUUCCUCUUCUCCACAGACUUGGGCUCUGCAGGCUUCUUAUUUGUUUUAUUAGUACAGCUUUACUGUUCAAAGGCAACAUAACUUGGGAAAGACUAGGGAUCAUAUAAUUUUUAGCACAUGGAUAAAUAUACCUAAAAAAGAAAAUUCAGUCAUGCAAACCUAGCAUUUAUAAGAGUUAUAUGGAUUAGAAUAACCCAUGAAAACUACAUAUUACUUGUUGAAAGAAUCUGGAACUAACAAACUGUCACAAAUAGAGUUGUGUGUCCUAUAGGUCAUAGUGAGAUACUUAAUCCUGAGAUCAAUGAGAAGGAAAUAAAAUCUACCAAAUGUUUUCAUUAAAUAUUAAAAAAUUUUCGAGUAAAAAUUAACUAGAUUUUUUGUAACAUUUAUUUUCUGCAUGUAAUGCAUCAGAAAAUAAAGCCCAUUUUCAUUCUUUCAAAUUGAAAUACAUUCAGGGACCAGCACAAAAACUGGCACCAGGGUACUUACAGCCUUGUGGGUCUAAGACAAGAGCUGAUUAAGUUCUUUUUUAAACACGAGACAGGGUUAAUUUUGAAGUUGGGGAACAUUGAAGAAACUCAAUUCCCCAUUCUUUUUCCUCUUAAAUGUUGUACAUUUUAAGCAUUAAAAAACCCAACUUUAUCAUUCUAAUAAAAAUCUGUGAUUACAGCUGUUCAUCUUUUAUUUCAAAGAAAUGAUUUUUCAGUUGUAAGGGUCAUAUAUUAAGAUGUUUUUGGGUUUUUUUUUUGUACUACAUUCAGCACAACAAACACUAUGGUUGACAUCCAUCUGUCAAUAAAGGCUAUGCCCAGUGCUAGCUGGGGGAUCAGCUUUAGUCAAAUGUUUCCUGUAAAAAAAAAUACCCAAAUAAACUCAAACUACUCAGGGAAUAAAGUGCAGGCUAAUUUGGAAAUCAUGAGAAGUAUUCUUGGCAAAUUGUGAUGCAACAACUGCAGGUUAUUCAGAGCUGCUAUAAGGGACCCUGAAAGCCUUCCAUACAGGCUAGAUUUGGAUUUAAGAAAUAGGCUGUACAGUAUCAAACCAUGUAAAAAGCUUAAAAACCACAAUGAGAAUACAUUUUAAAAUUUUUCUUCUAUAUUGUAAAAAUUUUUAAAUUAGGUCCAAACCACCAUUUAAAAAGGUAUGAAAUGUGCAAUUUUGCAAGUGGAAACAAGGGGCACAAGAAGGAUACCACAGGGGUUAAUUGGAGUUGCUUUGUGAUUUCUUUGUUUCCAGUACCUUCAUAUACCC